rnacentral:rRNA from 1 species
CACGUAGGGCGCAAGCGUUGUCCGGAAUUAUUGGGCGUAAAGAGCGUGUAGGCGGCUUCACAGGUCCGCUGUGAAAACUCGAGGCUCAACCUCGAGCUGUCGGUGGAAACCGUGUGGCUAGAGUCCGGAAGAGGAGAGUGGAAUUCCCGGUGUAGCGGUGAAAUGCGCAGAUAUCGGGAAGAACACCCGUGGCGAAGGCGGCUCUCUGGGACGGUACUGACGCUGAGACGCGAAAGCGUGGGGAGCGAACAGG